rnacentral:rRNA from 1 species
UGGGCAACCUGCCCCCGACCCUGGGAUAACCCCGGGAAACCGGAGCUAAUACCGGAUACUCCGGCUGGAUCGCAUGGUCCGGCCGGGAAAGGUCCGCCGGAGAGGGAUGGGCCCGCGGCCUAUCAGCUAGUUGGUGUGGGUAAUGGCCCACCAAGGCGACGACGGGUAGCCGGCCUGAGAGGGUGACCGGCCACACUGGGACUGAGACACGGCCCAGACUCCUACGGGAGGCA